CCUACGGGUGGCAGCAGUGAGGAAUAUUGCUCAAUGGCCGGAAGGCUGAACCAGCCAAGUCGCGUGAGGGAAUAAGGCCCUAGGAUUCGUAACCCUCGUUUGUCAGGGAGCAAGGGCGUCCUCGUAUGGACGAGAGGAGUGUACCUGAAUACAAAGCAUCCACUAACUCCGUUCCUGCAGCCGCGGUAGUACGGAGGAUGCGAGCGUUCUCCGGAUUGAGUGGGUUUAAAGGGUGCGUAGGCGGAGGGUCAAGUAAUUGGUAAAAUAUCGGGGCUAACCCCGGACGUGCCGUUGAAACUGACGAACUGGAGUGAGUGAGAGGUAAGCGGAAUGCGAGGUGUAGGGGUGAAAUGCAUAGAUAUCACGCAGAACGUCGAUUGCGAAGGCAGCUAACAGGCGCUCAACUGACGCUGAGGAACGAAAGUGUGGGUAUCGAACAGGAGUAGAUACCCGAGUAGUC
rnacentral:rRNA from 1 species